rnacentral:rRNA from 1 species
CCCUACGGGGGGCUGCAGUGGGGAAUAUUGCACAAUGGGGGAAACCCUGAUGCAGCGACGCAGCGUGCGGGAUGACGGCCUUCGGGUUGUAAACCGCUUUCAGCAGGGAAGAAGCGAAAGUGACGGUACCUGCAGAAGAAGUACCGGCUAACUACGUGCCAGCAGCCGCGGUAAUACGUAGGGUACGAGCGUUGUCCGGAAUUAUUGGGCGUAAAGAGCUCGUAGGUGGUUGGUCACGUCUGCUGUGGAAACGCAACGCUUAACGUUGCGCGUGCAGUGGGUACGGGCUGACUAGAGUGCAGUAGGGGAGUCUGGAAUUCCUGGUGUAGCGGUGAAAUGCGCAGAUAUCAGGAGGAACACCGGUGGCGAAGGCGGGACUCUGGGCUGUAACUGACACUGAGGAGCGAAAGCAUGGGGAGCGAACAGGAUUAGAUACCCUGGUAGUC